rnacentral:rRNA from 1 species
GAUGAACGCUAGCGGCAGGCUUAAUACAUGCAAGUCGUGGGGCAGCAGGGGUGUAGCAAUACAUCUGCUGGCGACCGGCAAACGGGUGCGUAACACGUACGCAACCUUCCCGUUACUGUGGCAUAGCCCAGGGAAACUUGGAUUAAUACCACAUAUUAUAUAGAGAGGGCAUCCUUUUUAUAUCAAAGCUUCGGCGGUAACGGAUGGGCGUGCGGUUGAUUAGGUAGUUGGCGGGGUAACGGCCCACCAAGCCUACGAUCAAUAGCUGAUGUGAGAGCAUGAACAGCCACACGGGCACUGAGACACGGGCCCGACUCCUACGGGAGGCAGCAGUAAGGAAUAUUGGGCAAUGGACGAAAGUCUGACCCAGCUAUGCCGCGUGAAGGAUUAAGGUCCUCUGGAUUGUAAACUUCUUUUCUCUGGGGCGAAAACCAGCUAUUCUUAGCUAUUUGACAGUACCAGAGGAAUAAGCACCGGCUAACUCCGUGCCAGCAGCCGCGGUAACAC